rnacentral:rRNA from 1 species
CACGUAGGGGGCAAGCGUUGUCCGGAUUUAUUGGGCGUAAAGAGCUCGUAGGUGGCUCGGCAAGUCGGGUGUUAAACCCCCAGGCUCAACCUGGGGACACCACUCGAUACUGCUGUGGCUAGAGUCCGGUAGGGGAGCGUGGAAUUCCUGGUGUAGCGGUGAAAUGCGCAGAUAUCAGGAGGAACACCAGCGGCGAAGGCGGCGCUCUGGGCCGGUACUGACACUGAGGAGCGAAAGCGUGGGUAGCAAACAGG